GAUGAACGCUGGCGGCGUGCCUAAUACAUGCAAGUCGAGCGAACAGAUGAGGAGCUUGCUCCUCUGACGUUAGCGGCGGACGGGUGAGUAAUACGUGGAUAACCUACCUAUAAGACUGGGAUAACUUCGGGAAACCGGAGCUAAUACCGGAUAAUAUAUUGAACCGCAUGGUUCAAUAGUGAAAGACGGUUUUGCUGUCACUUAUAGAUGGAUCCGCGCCGCAUUAGCUAGUUGGUAAGGUAACGGCUUACCAAGGCAACGAUGCGUAGCCGACCUGAGAGGGUGAUCGGCCACACUGGAACUGAGACACGGUCCAGACUCCUACGGGAGGCAGCAGUAGGGAAUCUUCCGCAAUGGGCGAAAGCCUGACGGAGCAACGCCGCGUGAGUGAUGAAGGUCUUCGGAUCGUAAAACUCUGUCAUUAGGGAAGAACAAAUGUGUAAGUAACUAUGCACGUCUUGACGGUACCUAAUCAGAAAGCCACGGCUAACUACGUG
rnacentral:rRNA from 1 species